GGGGAGGGGCUGGAGCUGCAGGAGCUGCGCGAGAUCCUGGGCAGGCCCCCCCGGGAUCCUCCCCUGGACUCUUCCGGGUCCGAGCCCGAACCGGAAGGGGCGGGGCCUGAGCCGGAAGGGGCGGAGCCGCUGGAGGGGGAGGAGCCAGAGGAGGAGGAGGAGGAAGAGGAAGAGGGGGGAGGGGCCCCCGAGGUGACCCGAGGGGCCCCUCCCCCCGCUGGCCCCGCCCUGCAGGAGCUGAGGGCGGAGCUGGGAGGGGGCGGGGCCGGGGCGGAGCCUGAGCGGAGCCUGCCCAGGCUGAUCCGGCAGCGCGAAUGGGGGCGGAGCUUCUCCAGGGAGGAGAGAACCCAGCUGAGCUCCCACUUCCUGCCCAAUCACGCGGGGGGUUUUGCAGCCCCACCCCAGAAGGUUUUCUGCUC